AUACGACAUUAUCAUCCGAAGUUUGCUAAACCAAAAUGAGCUUCACAUGGCAACGUCAUAUGUGGAAGAAAUGCGCCAAAAGGGAUUAUCAGCAGAUUUUGCACAUUCUUCGCUGCCAACUGAUCAAGCGGAAGAACAAAAUGGAGAUGAUUUUUUUCUUAAAUUGAUGAAGAACCUUGCUCCCAAGAAAAUUGUAUCGUAGUUCUUUCUUCUUCAUAUACGAGGGCGAGGAUUCAUAUAGCCAGAGGCCUUUGUCUCGAAGUUGCAAGCAGCAAUGGUGCCGACGUUCAGUGGAGUUCGAUUCUCUAUGUACUUGGUGCUCAACAUUUCAUUCAUGCUGCUCUCUGCAUUUCUAGGAUUUGAACAUUUUGUUGAUGGAGUAACAAUCUCGUGUUUAAAUUA